GACGAACGCUGGCGGCGUGCUUAACACAUGCAAGUCGAACGGAGCGAAUGAAAGCUUGCUUUUAUGAGCUUAGUGGCAAACGGGUGAGUAACACGUAGACAACCUGCCGACAGGAUGGGGACAACAUUCCGAAAGGAAUGCUAAUACCGAAUGAAGCGGAGGGGAGGCAUCUCUCUUCCGUGAAAGAUGGCCUCUGAAUAUGCUAUCACCUGUCGAUGGGUCUGCGUCUGAUUAGCUGGUUGGUGAGGUAACGGCUCACCAAGGCGACGAUCAGUAGCCGGUCUGAGAGGAUGAACGGCCACAUUGGGACUGAGACACGGCCCAGACUCCUACGGGAGGCAGCAGUGGGGAAUCUUCCGCAAUGGGCGCAAGCCUGACGGAGCAACGCCGCGUGAGUGAAGAAGGUCUUCGGAUCGUAAAGCUCUGUUGAUGGGGACGAACGUACGGAGUGCGAAU
rnacentral:rRNA from 1 species